ACCCUGUUGUGGUGGAGGUAUUAGUACUCUGAGAAAGUCAUGCUAUUUUAUGCACACUACAUUUUCAUAUUUUCUUGCUUUGACAGUUGCCAUGCUUGAAAAUAUAUAUCAAUUCAUUACAUGUGUAUUAGCUUAGAAUUUAUUUCACAUUUUUAUUAGGAUCUCAUGUCAUGUCAUAUCAUUCAUGAUGUUUGUGGGUAACAUCCCUGAAAAC
rnacentral:lncRNA from 1 species